GAGGAGCCAAGGUGUAAUAUUUAGGAUGUACCGGUGUCCCAAGCUGGUGGAUGUCCCGGUGGUGGUGGAGCUGCCCUCUGUCAUGUACAAAAUGGCACCUUUCACCUUAAAAGGCCACGAUUCGAGUCCCGCCCAGCUGAUGCAAACUUCCAAGCCCUGCCCAUCCUGCAGCCCCCGCGAGUGAUCCUGUACGCCCUGCCGCUGCUGCCGCUCCUGCUGGUGGUGACCCUGACAAUGAGAGUCAACCUGUGCUCUGUUCUCAUGGACUUUUACCAUUAUCGUGUGCUGUGAGAGGCGUAGAGCACUGUCUGGCUGCCCCCAUCCCCACGCACUCUUUCUCUCUCUCUCUCUCUCUCUCUCUCU